rnacentral:rRNA from 1 species
GACAGAGGGUGCAAACGUUUGUUCGGAAUUACUGGGCGUAAAGCGUGUGUAGGCUGCUCCGAUAGUCGGAUGUGAAAUCCUGGAGCUCAACUCCAGAACUGCCUUUGAUACUGGCGAUCUUGAGUCCGGGAGAGGUGAGUGGAACUGCGAGUGUAGAGGUGAAAUUCGUAGAUAUUCGCAAGAACACCAGUGGCGAAGGCGGCUCACUGGCCCGGUACUGACGCUGAGACGCGAAAGCGUGGGGAGCGAACAGG